rnacentral:rRNA from 1 species
GAUGAACGCUAGCGGCAGGCCUAACACAUGCAAGUCGAGGGGUAACAUAGGAAAGCUUGCUUUUCUGAUGACGACCGGCGCACGGGUGCGUAACGCGUAUACAACCUACCGUUUUAGCGGGGAAUAGCCCAGGGAAACUUGGAUUAAUGCCCAUAGUAUAUAGACUUCUCCUGAAGUUUAUAUUUAAACAUUUAUGGCUAUUAGAUGGGUAUGCGUCCUAUUAGUUAGUUGGUAAGGUAACGGCUUACCAAGGCAGCGAUAGGUAGGGGUCCUGAGAGGGAGAUCCCCACACUGGUACUGAGGCACGGACCAGACUCCUACGGGAGGCAGCAGUGAGGAAUAUUGGACAAUGGGCGAGAGCCUGAUCCAGCCAUGCCGCGUGCAGGAAGACUGCCCUAUGGGUUGUAAACUGCUUUUACAGAGGAAGAACCACCCCCACGUGUGGGGGGUUUGACGGUACUCUGCGAAUAAGGAUCGGCUAACUCCGUG